rnacentral:rRNA from 1 species
CACGGAGGUGGCAAGCGUUGCUCGGAAUCACUGGGCGUAAAGGGCGCGUAGGCGGGGAGGUAAGUCGGGUGUGAAAUCCCUCGGCCCAACCGAGGAACUGCGCCCGAGACUGCUUCUCUUGAGUCCCGGAGAGGAAGAUGGAAUUCCCGGUGUAGCGGUGAAAUGUGUAGAGAUCGGGAGGAACACCGGUGGCGAAGGCGGUCUUCUGGACGGUGACUGACGCUGAGGCGCGGAAGCGUGGGGAGCAAACGGG